UACGUAGGGUGCAAGCGUUGUCCGGAAUUAUUGGGCGUAAAGAGCUCGUAGGCGGUCUGUCGCGUCGGCUGUGAAAACCCAGGGCUCAACCCUGGGCCUGCUUCCGAUACGGGCAGACUAGAGGUAUGCAGGGGAGAAUGGAAUUCCUGGUGUAGCGGUGAAAUGCGCAGAUAUCAGGAGGAACACCGGUGGCGAAGGCGGUUCUCUGGGCAUUACCUGACGCUGAGGAGCGAAAGCUAGGGGAGCAAACAGG
rnacentral:rRNA from 1 species